UUUUCCCACUUGAAGAUAUGUUGCAACACAAGUGAACUCUCUUCAUUACUUAAAAAAAAGUACAGCUCUGUGUUAGUGCUUUGAAAAUACUUUACAUAACUGUAAACAUCUUCAAGAAAUUUUUUAAGAAGAGAAAAUGUGGCUGUAAUCCCACCUUUUUUGUAAUAACUGGUUUCACUUCUGUGUAACUUUCAUUUUUUAUUCACAUACUAUUCAUGUGUUAGGAUAGGCUUUAAAAAUUUGUGCCAUAAGAAUGAAACUAGAUCUUGCCUACAGGUUACUGCAGUAGGCCUGCCUGCUUCUCUGCUGUUCUGUACACUGUCUUCUCCUACCUGUAAUGCACCAAGUAGUGAUGGAGCCAACAUUCUCUUGCCUUUGGCCUUGGUCCCCAGUGAAGUCCCUGGAUCAAGCUCCAUUUUUGAAAAUUUUUUUUUUUUUUUCUUUUUAGGGCUGCACCAGCAGCAUAUGGAAGUUCCCAGUCUACGGGUCAAAUUGGAGCUGUAGCUGCUGGCCUACACCACAGCCACAGCAACACAUGAUCCAAGUUCUGUCUGUGACCUAUACCUCAGCUCACAGCAAUGCCAGAUCCUUAACCCACUGAGUGAUGCCAGGGAUUGAACCCACAUCCUCAUGGGUACUAGUUGGGUUUUUAACCUGCUGAGUCACAACAGGAACUCCCAGUUCCAGCAUUUUUGAUUUCAUUUAUUUUACAAAUAUCUAUUGAAUACUCAGUUAAGUAUUGUGUAUUACUGUGUGGAUUAAGACAAAAGGCAUAAAGUCACUUUGACCUGUUGAAGAUGGGAGUGAAAAGCAUGAAGGAAACUUAUACUUUGGCUUUUGUGAUUCCACAAGAGGUUUGGGGCCAAUCUGAACAGAAGGAUAAUCUCUUGUAUUAUGUCCCACAACAUGGGAAGAAGGGGAGGUGGAGGCAAUGAAGUCAAAUGAGAGGGUAUUGUUAAGUCAUGGGCUGGUGGUGGCAUUGAGCUUGGACUUGGGGAAGGAUAAAGUAAUGGGCUCUAAGGAUAAUAGAACUAAGCUGAAUCAGAAGCCAUGGAUGGAGAGCUUCCUAUCUGGGAGCAGCGAACUAGUAUAAUGGCUUUGUUAUUUGUGUGUGGGGAGUGUUUAAAAUGAAUUAAUUGUAUUAAUUCUCGCUAAAAAGGAAAGACAAUUCUAGCACAUUGGCACAGAAACUAAAAUGUAUUCCUUAUUAACUGAAAAAUCUUAAGCUAGAUUUGGCUUCAGCUUUGGGUGAAAUUAUGUCUUCUGACAAAAGUUGUUAGUUUUGUCUUUCUCCAGAUUUCCACUUAGCUUCUUUCUUCCUUGUUGGGUUCCACAGGCAGGUUUCUGAACACAUUGGCAAAGAUGAUUGUUGGCCGCUUGUGGCUUAUGUUCUGCAAGUUUUGUAGCCCUGAUGGAAAAUGUAUGCCUUUUUUCUUUUUCUUUUUUUGUUUUUUUAGGGCCACACCUGUGGCAUGUGGAAGCUCCCAGGCUAGAGGUCGAAUUGGAGCUGCAGCUGUAAGCCUUUACCACAGUUCAUGGAAAUGCCAGAUCCUUAACUGAAUGAGUGGGGCCGGGGAUUGAACCUGUAUCCUCAUGGUUAACUAAGUCUGAUUUGUUACCGCUGAGCCGCAAUGAGAACUCCCCAAAUGUUUGCCUUUUUAAUUUCGAUAGGUCUGGCUUGGGUCACAGACCCACCCUGGAGCCAGGUAGGGCAAUUAGCUCCAUCUAAAUCAUGUGAAUUGGCAAUGGCAAAGUGGUACUUCUUUCUCCAAAGAGAAGGAAUGGACUUUGCUAUCAGGAGAAUGAUGCUGGGCAGGCAAAUGGCAGGAAUGACUGCUGCACAGAUAGAUGCCUCUAAGAAUCUGAGUAUCUGCUGAAAGGACAAACCUUGCAUUUCUAGGAAAUUGUUCAUAAGUACAUCUCAGUAUGAAUCAAUUCUGCUUGUAAUUACUGGAGUUCACAGAACUUCUGAAAUUUCAUAUCUGUUCCCUAGAGUUCCAUGGACCCCAGCUUCAAAAAACAUGACUCUACAGUGUGAAAUAAUUGAGGGUAAGCACUGCGAAUUUUUUUUUUUUUGGGGGGGGGCCACACCCACAGGAAUGUGGAAAAUCUCAGGCUAGGGGUUAAAUCGAAGCUGCAACUGCCAGCCUACACUAUAGCCAUAGCAACUUGGGAUCCAAGCUGGGUCUGUGACCUACACCACAGCUCAUAGCAACGCUGGAUCCCCAACCCCACUGAGUGGAGCCAGAAAUGGAACCCAGAUCUUCAUGGAUAUUAGCCAGAUUCAUUUUCACUGUGCUGCAACGGGAACUCCAGCACUGUGAAUUUGGGACAUGAUGUCUCCCACACUGAGUAGAUAGUCCUGUACAUAUUGAGUCCUGAAAACACUGAAUGAAUGAAUCAAAUAGCCUUUUUUGGAGAUCCACUGUACUGGUAGUAUGCUAUGUGUUUUAUGUAUGUUCUUUCAUUCUUCUAAUGUUGUUCUAUGGCUGAGGAAACUGAAGCUAACUAGAAGUAAAAGAAGCUGAAGAUCUAGAAUUGACAAGCAUAGAAAGGAGAUAUGACUAGAUCUGAAGUUCAAGGGGAGGACUCCUGCAUGAGCAGGGCCUUAGUCUGGGUGUUGAGACAUGUUGUGAGAUUCACCAUCAUGGCUCAGCUGGUCCUAGUUCCAGGCCCAGCUGUGGGGGGCCAUCACCUCUGAGGUCUUCUCAGGCCACCAUGUGGCAGCACCAUUGUCAGGCACUUGUUGUCAGUGACAAAAAUGGACUUCCUAUUUGCUCCUUCUAAUAGCCCCUUAAAAUAACACAUGAGUCUUUCAUAGUUUUAGCUUCCACUUGAGAACCUGCAUUCAGACUAAAACCUUUUUGUUGUGGUUGAGAUUGAUUUGCAAUCUGAUUCUUGCAUUAGAUAGCCAUUCUUAGGCUAUUAGGAGCCCCAUAGAAAAUUGCUCCAAUGGAUCCAUAUCACUUUGGGAAGUUCCCGUGGAAUUGUUCUUCCGGAGAAAUGAUAAAAACUCUGGGUCAGUCGCUAGAGUGUCAGCAGAUUGAAUGGCCAAAAGAGAAUGCCUCCCAUCUGUGGCCCUGAAGUGCUGGGUCAGCAGAGGAAAGUGGUUAAAAUAAUUACCGUGGAGUCAGGGAAUUUGGCAGAUUUGGGAGAUCACACAUGUAAAGGGACCUUUUUUCCUCCGUUUUCUUAUCUCAGACCCAUGUGAAUUGAUGAUCAUGAGGGCACCAAGGGGACAGAAAUAGACGUUAUCCUGCUCCGGUCCCAAACCGGGAAGAAAGAAAUAACCAACCCUACUUCUCUACAUGGGUGGAAUGAGGGCUGACCAGUAUGCAAAUGGCAGCAGACAUAUGGUUAUGUUCUGAUUAGCUACUAGUGAUUUGAAGCCAUGCAUAUGUAUCAACUGCUGAUGUAUGUAUGGACAAUACAUCUGUUUACACAAAUAGACUUGAAGCAUUUUUUUUUCCAUUUUUCUUAAGGAUCUAGUACUGGAUGCCCAUAGGAAAAGAUGUUUUACUUCCUUUUCCCAUUAAUUUUGAUCAGCCAGAAUCAAACUACUUUGUUUUCUCUUAUUCUUACUUUUGUGAAGGAACUUUUUCUUUGUGUGUGUAGCUUUACUAACCAUAUUGUUUGGGCUCUUGAAAAAGGAGGUAUGGGAGUUCCCAUUGUGGCCUAACAAGAUUGGCAGCAUCUCUGGAGUACUGGGAUACAGGUUAAGUCCCCGGCCCAGCACAACAGAUUAAGGAUCUGGCAUUGCCUCAGCUAUAGCAUAGGUUGAAACUGCAGCUCGGAUCUAAUCCCUGGCCUGGGAACUCUAUGUGCCAUGGGG
rnacentral:lncRNA from 1 species